UGAUAAUCAGGAAUGUAUAUUAAUUAUCGAUCAUGAAACUGGAGAAUUAACUCUUGAAAGGUUGUCCCAUCAGAUAAUGGUAAAAAAGACGCGAGCAGAGCGAGCA